rnacentral:rRNA from 1 species
UACGAAGGGGACUAGCGUUGCUCGGAAUGACUGGGCGUAAAGGGCGCGUAGGCGGAUUGCUUUGUCGGGCGUGAAAUUCCAGGGCUUAACCUUGGGGCUGCGUUCGAGACGGGUGAUCUUGAGUUCGGAAGAGGGUCGUGGAAUUCCCAGUGUAGAGGUGAAAUUCGUAGAUAUUGGGAAGAACACCGGUGGCGAAGGCGGCGACCUGGUCCGAGACUGACGCUGAGGCACGAAAGCGUGGGGAGCGAACGGG